UAAUUGAUAACCUAAGAGAGAAAGAUA
rnacentral:piRNA from 1 species